rnacentral:lncRNA from 1 species
GGAGAGGGAAGUGUUAACUCUCAGGGGAGCCAUAAGCCCUGCCCAAGAGUAAAGAGGACGCCUCCCCUCCUCCUCCAGGUUCCUCCUUCCGAUACUUCCCCCGGAAGCCUCUGCAAAGCCCAGUUUCCAGAACACCGGCACUGUCCCACGUAAGGCUCACCAUGCAGAGUGGAUGGAUACAGAGAGCUUCCUUCCGUCUUAUAGAUUGUGCACCUGUUUAGCGCGGCCCCAAGACUAGGGCUGUGCAUGUCACACACACGAAGACACUGGUGGACUGGGCUUUCUGAGCAGGUCUCGAUUCCGCCAGUCAACAGUCUGAAAGUUCAGGAUCUCCUGAUCAGAAGCAGGACGUCCAUAUGCAGGCUGCACUGGAGGCCACGCUUUUGAGAAGUUGAAACAAAGCACAAAGGAAGUGGUCCCCAGUCGGACCAGGUCUGGUGGUGGUACAUCUGACUAGGAGGAGAGAACAGAGAAGGAAGCUGCUCUGAGGGAGGACCAGAAGAGUAGGCACUAUGAGUCCUUGGCCCUUGCGUGCAGGCUGAAAUCAUCACUGAACGGAAACAACAAACAGUAAAGAGAUGCUAGCUGCCACGCCGCAGAGAGAGACGUAGAAGAUGCCCACCCGAGCAGGAAUCUCUGGCAGCCUUCGGGUGGAUCAGGCACAGACAGUGUUCACUCACUUCUAAUGAGCUUCAUGAUACCCAGGCAGAGUCUUCAACGCAUGUUGAUCACCAGCUAUGAGUCAAAUCAAUGGCAAAGACUCCCUCAGAGCCUUGCUCUAAUGACACAAUCCUUAGCGUCUGGAUGAAUCCUCCAUCUCCUCUAGGCUUCUCCUACUCAGGCUCCCUAGUUUGCAGAAAGAUGUGGGACCUAAGGGCGGCAGGAGGGACCUUUCUUUACACCGUUACUGAUAAAGGAUAAAUAACCCUCGGUUCCUUAAAAGCUUUGAAAUACCUCAGCCAUCCAUCUAGUCAGGAUGACUGCAGCAACGUGAUCAAGACGGAUGUGCACCUUCCCUGAUCCUGCCAGCAAAAGGAAGAGAUCCUCAGAGGAGAAGAAGGCAAGGCAUAUAGCUACUGACAUGCUGGUAUAGAGAAAAACAGAGGCAGGAGGCAGUACAGUGUGACCAGCACUAGCCUGGAUUCAAGCUGUCUUUCAAGAACGGAGAAUAAGGGGCUGGAGAGAUGGCUCAGUGGUUAAGAUCACUGACUGCUCUUCCAGAGGUCCUGAGUUCAAUUCCCAGCAAUCACAUGAUGGCUCACAACCGUCAGAAACGGGAUCAGAUGUCUUCUUCUGGUGUGUCUGAAGACAGCAACAGUGUACUUGCAUACAUUAAGUAAAUAAAUAAAUAAAUAUUUUAAAAAAGA